rnacentral:lncRNA from 1 species
CCACCAUCCAAAUGCUUCUGUGAAAUAUUGUUUGUAUACUUCAAGAUUCACUUGUCCAAUUUCUCUUUCCUCAUCUUCAAUGAGCUUUGCUGCAGUUUUAUCAGACUUGGAUUGAAUUUGAGAAGACUGUUUUUCUCCGCUUUCUUUUUCUUUUGAAAUGACGCGGGCGAGUUUUGGAGAUUGAGCGGAAUCAUCACUAGUUUUCUCACUUGUUUCUGCUAUUUCCAUUGAGGAUUCAUGAGCAGCUACAAGUGCACCAAAAUCUAGGCCUGCUUUGAGAAGUUCAUCAUACUUUCCACUUUGCACUACUCUCCCUUCUCGCAUCACCUUUGAAAUUGGUAUCAAAACAAGCCAAGUUUCUCAGUUGAACUUGAAAAAACUUUAAUGUUUAAGGUUAUUUAUUGCAAACAAGUUAUCAGUUCUCAGCAAUCUCAAAAAUGAUGACUGUGAUAGAUUAACAGUGCAAAAAAAUUACGCUGAAAGUGUAUAAAAAUUAAUCUAUAUAUUUUCCCCCCUGAUGAGUGUGAUUGAUUAACAGUGUAAAUAUUUUACGCUGAAAGUGUAUAAAAAUUAAUCUAUUUGUUUUUUCCCCCUUAUUUGGUGAAAGGAUUAUAAAAUACAUGUAUAACACCAUUGAUUAACACCUACAUCAUGAGUAUUGUCACUCACUAUUGGUAAGAUAACUUGGGAGAAACUGAAUUGAACUGUCAUUUACAUAAAAAAUCAAACAUUUUAGGGACUUGUGAGCAUAUACAUACCAUUAUAGAGUCAACAUUAUGCAAGAAAUCAACUUGGUGUGUUACAAGUAAAACUGCCUUAUCUUUGAGAGUUCCCAUGAUACAUUCCUGCAACAAAAAUAGAGAAUCAGGAACUUCAUUCGUGACUGCAUUAGAAAAAAACUGACGUUAUCAUUUUGAUUAAUAUAAUAUAAUGUUUCUAAAAUGAGAAACAUCGUUAUAUCACUAAAAACUAGAAAAUUAAGCUAUUUAGCACUUCUUGUAAGUUGUAACUUUGUGCUUACCUUAAAAAUAAAUGAUCCUGUUUGAGCAUCAACAGCACUGAAUACAUCAUCAAGGAGAUAGAUGUCACUGUCCUGAUAUACAGCUCUAGCAAGUUGUAUGCGCUGUUUCUGGCCGCCACUGAGGUUAAUACCGCGCUCUCCAAUCUCGGUUUCGUCACCAUCUUCCAUCAUUACAAGAUCCUUUUCAAGGCAGCACACUCUUAGAGCUUCCUUGUACUUUUCCAUGUUCAUUGGCAAACCAAACAAUAUGUUUUCUUUGAUGGUUGCAUUCUGAAUCCAUGAUGUUUGUGCUACAUAUGCCGUCGUCCCACAAACUCUAACCUGUAACACAAAAUCUUUUUCAAUACAUUUGAAAAGCAUAGUCAUAAAUUCUUGCAACAAAAACAGUCUCACAAAUGUUUAUGCUAAUAGAUAAGCUCAAAUAAACCAGUCUUAAUAGGCCUUACACCUGAUAUGAAUGGUUCAAUUUUUUCCCAUGUGUCUUAGAAGAUGAUGAACAAAACAACCUUGUGAAUGUCAUGAAUCUUAAAGAUCAACGUUCAUGUUCUCUAAUAGUUAUAUGAUAUGCAUGUGCCAAAUCCUAUCCUAGGACAUGAAACAUAUACUUUUUUUAACAUGAAUGAAUUAAUACCUAGGUUUUAGACUGUGAUCACUGUCUCAGUAGUAGAAAAUAGAAAAUGAAGACAAGAAGGCCUAAUGCGAUAGAGUUUUGCUGUUGUAGCUGCAAUUACAGUUUUUAGCGCAACAAUUUCUAGCCUGGAUGAACCAAAUACAAAACUUUUUUAACUCUCCAGUUCUCAUGGGAACAAGUCCCUGAUAAUCCGGAGUUCAGUCGGGAGGUAAUUAAUGUUACAGUCAUAAUUCAAACUUGGAUUCUCCAAAAUGAUACAAAAUACUAUUCUUUUGUGCAAGAUGAAGAAAAUAACCUGAAGUGUGUUGAUUGUAAAAAAAAAUUCACGAGUCCAAGGCAAAAAAGCAUACCUUUCCUGAGAUCUUGAACAUUUCCCCCAACACAGAAGCCAGUAAUGAAGACUUGCCUGAUCCAACAGUUCCUACAACAGCAGCAUGGUCCCCUUUCUUAAUCACCAAUUCCUUAACUCGCAAAGCCUCAUUCUCAUCCAUAUCAUCCCAAGAAAAUUUCCCAUCUUUUAUCUCCACAGCUACAUCACCAUUACAGUUCUCCUCUCUUUGCACUGCAUUCUCAUCCAUUUCCUUACUCAUCAUGAACUUAUCCAACCUCCCUAAUGAUAUCGUUGCUUGCGAAAUAUUGAUAAGAGCCUGUGGAAAAGUACUCAUAGGCUCUUGAAGUAUCUUGAUCACUGCAGUUACUGUGAAAACAGUGCCAGCAUUCAGAGGAAUCCCCAUAAAAGUUGCAACUCCAAAUGUAAGAACAGUUAUAGCUAAAGGAGAAGUAGUCAAAACUCCCAUGUUCACAGCAAAAUAGUACAAGAAUUUCCCAAUCCAUCCAUGUUCGGCUUCACGAAACUGUUGAAUCUUGUUCCCGAAGUACUCUUCCCACGCUUGAAAUUUAAUCACACGCAUGUUGUUAAGCAACUCAUUCGUUGACUUCAUUCUCGAAUCGCGGCUCAUCAUUAUCCGAAACUGAAAAACAUUACUAUUCUUCGAUCGAUAUGCAGUGAAGCAGAAGACAAUGGCAGUACCAAGAAUUGCUGCAACGACAGAUACACCAACAUAGCUAUACAUAAGAGCCAAUGCAGCGGCAACUUGUAAUGGCAUCAUCCAAAUAGGAUGAAACUGCUUCAUCAAGUCUGAGAGUUGUUGAGCAUCAACAGCCAUGUGAUUCACAAUCUGUCCAGUUCCAUGAGCCUGUCUUGAAGAACUUGACAACCUUAAACCCUUUUUGUAAACCGAAGUGAUUAUGCUCGAGCGAACAAGCAUACCUAGUUUCUGAGAAUGGAAGUUGAAUUGAUGAACACUAAGUACUUCAACAGAUUUUGCUGCAAAAAGGACACAUAUCAAAACAAUACCUUCACUAGUCGGACUAUCUUUCUGUGAUGUGAAAUCAACAAAACUCUGAAUCAGCAAUGGACCGACAUACAUAACACAAAGCCUCAUGAAUGCAAGAAAGCCAGUGAAAACUAUGUGUUUCCAAAAACACCUAAAAAGGGUAACUCCAACUGGAUGCUUACUGUUUUCCUCUGGUUUCGGCCAAUUGUUUUGAAAAAGUUCAGACAUUUUUUCUGCUCUAAAAUCAAGAGGAAGUGAAGGAACAUCUUCUAGUUUAAGGGGUGUUUGGUAGCCUUUAUUGAGUAAAGGAUUCAGCCAAAACCACCCUGUUUUGGACAAAAAUGAAGAAUGGGCAUAAGGACUCAAAGUUCUAUCGAUUGAAAUCGAUGGAUAUGUGGCUACUACAUCGGAUAUUCUUAUCACAUGAAUACCUGAUGACCCUUUUAUUGAUAUGACAAAAAAGAACACAGAUAAUGGAAGAUUAACCAAUGAGAAUAUGUCAUCUAUUCUCAAACUAAGCUCCAACUUUUCUUCACGGACAGUUAUCAAUCGAACAAUAGCCGAAACAGCAAACAAAGUAGCAAUCACAAAGUUUGCUAUCCAAUAGAUUCUUAGUGAUAAAGGGUGUUUGGAAGAUUUGAACUUUUUCUCAUGUAACAUUAGAAUCACUAUAACUAUGUUGGUUAUUGCUUGAAACAACCGAAAAAGUGCUUCUAUUUGUUUCCAUGAAGAAAGGUUAUUGGUUUGAGUAAAAGCCAAGAUUCCUAGAACAGUGUAACUUAUAGCCAAAAGGGUAGUUACCAAAAAGGCUAGUUUGAACAAAAAGGUGAUUUUAUAGUCAGAAUCUUUCUCUUGCAGAAGUGGUUUUGUGAUUGAGGAGCUAGUGUUUGCUCUUGAAUAGAAUCUUGAAUAGAGUUUUUGAGCUGCAAAAGCUAAGAGGGAGAGCAAAAACAAGGAAUCAAGAGCAGAAAGUAGAAGUCUCUGAGGACAAGGAGAUAGGAAAAUGAACCUUAACCAUUGAAGAAUGAAUUGUGGUGUAGAAGAAGAUGAAUGUAAAGGUAAAAGGGUGCAUGAAGGAGAAGUUAGCCAUGCAGAAGUAGAAGAAGACAUGGCUAUAAGAUUAUGGAAUGAUAAUUGUUAAGGUUUCAUAUUAUUUGUUAGAAAAUAUGUAAUGAGUUUGUUGCAGAAAGUAUGAGAGACAGAGCAUGUAAUUGUAUAAGACAGACCCCCACAACUAUAAAUUACCACGCGUUGCGCGAGUUUCACGAUGUCUCCCACUAGAUCCUCACUCAACAAUUUUAUCAAUUUUAUCAUUUUUUAUGCAGAUCAUCAGUCAACAAUUUUAUCAUUUUUUAUUCCUUCUUUUUGUCUGCAACUAAUUUUUGUUUCCCAUUCUCUUCAAGAACUCAUUUUUCAUCCAAAUGAAGGAAAAAAAUAAUGUUAACAAGUGCUAAAUAUCUAACAAUAAUAACUUUUGUAUACAAAAUUGUGUAGUUAUAAUUUUGAUUUGUACUCAGUAUGUUUCUAUUUAAGUGAACAUUUUGCUCAUUUCACAUUUAUUAAGAAAAAUGUAUUGGUGAAUCAUUUUCUUAAGUGAAAUGCAGGAGUCAGUAUUUUAGGACAAUAUUUUUUUUACAAAAGACUCACUUAUAUUAAGGGACGGAGGGAGUAUUUUCAAGACAAAAUUUCUUUUCGUGGAUUUCUUAAACAAUCCUCUUAGAGCACUUGUUAACCAAACUCAUAAAAGAAUAAAUUAAAGAAGUAAGAGUAAUAAAUGGGAAAGAGAAAUUAUAACUAAUUUUACAGAAAUAUUAUUGGUUAACUGUGCAGGAAAAAUAAAUUAAAGAAUUGAAAAAAGUAAGAGUGUGUUUGGAUGAGGUAAUUGAGAAAUUUUAAAGAAUUUAGAAUUCUAGACAAUUAAAAUGGUUCAAUUAAAAUGCUUUCAUUUCUCAAUACUUUUGUUUGGAUGGAGUAAUAAAAAAUUUCACUGUCAUCAUUUUUGGACAACUUUUAUAAAUUUUAAUUUUUUGGGCAAAAUUUUAAUUUCAAAAAAUUUGAGGGGUCAAAUUAUAAAUUUUGAAUAUUUUGAUGGGUUAAUUUGCAAUUCUUUGAAAAAUGAUUGGGGUCAAUUUGAAAAUUUUGGAAAAUUUGAGGACCAAAAAAUGAAAAAUUAUAACAAUGAAGAAAUUUGAAAUUCUUAACUUUUAGGUGUCAUUUGAAAUUCUUUAAAUUUAACUUGAACAAAAUAAUUCAUAAAUUUUCAUCAUUUUAAAAAUUAUUUAAAUUAUUAUCCAAACAAUGAAAUUCGUAUUUAAAUUUCCUCAAAAAAUUCUCUAUCCUAAAUUAUGAUAGAACUUUCAUGAUCUAGAAAAACAAAUUGGACCUAACAUAAAAAAUGACAAACAACUAUAACUAUCAUUAAGCUGAUCUAUUAGAAUAAACCAAUGCUGCAAAAAGUGAAUGCUUUUCAAGCAAACGUGAUGGCUUGUCAAAUUCCUUUGCAAAACCUAGCAAAAACGUCAAAUACCCCACAAUUUACAUCACCAAUCUAAACAUAUAUAUGUAUUUUUUAAUAAUAAUACAGCAAUUGCAGUAUUAAAAGGUUUGCACAAAUAUAUUUUUCCAGUAAACUAAUGGUGAUAAUAGAAAGGACAAGAUUUUGCUGCAGUUCCUUAAAUGUAAGGUGUGUUCGGUAUUUAAUAUUAAACGUUGCUCGACAUAUAUCAUUGGUUAUGAUUCAAUUUGUUAUGAAAACACAUAUAAAUAGAUAUAUAACAUAAACAUGCCUGCAUCUAUGACCAAAACCCUGUCACAGUCCAUAACUGUUUGUAUUCUGUGAACAAUGUUAACAACCGUACGAUCUACAAAAUCCUCCCUGAUGAUCUUUUGUAUUACAGCAUCAGUUUGCGAAUCAUAACUGAAUAAUAUUUUGCUGCGUUUUAGCAUGAUCCUUCCGGCUAGCAUAGAAGUUGUGUUGAUGAUUGUAGGAAAAUUAUUGUGUUCAUGUCUUUGCAAAUCUUGGGUGUGAUAUUUUUUAUGCUUGGAAAAUUUGGGAUACUUCAUCUUCGUCAUUUACUUUUUGCUGAUGUUGGUGAAGUUGCUACUCCACGUCUAAUUUUGUUGUAAUAUCUUUUAUGGGUUAAUUAGGCUCCUCUUUUUUUUUUUCUUUGGUUAGCUUAGUGGCUAGAAUUCACUUUUUUUAAAGUGAAUAAGUGGGGUGUUCGGGGUUCGAACCUCGACCCCUGCAUAUAACAAUGCAUGUCCCUACCAACUGAGCCAUGCUCACGGAGACAAUUAGACUCCUCUUUAAUUCCAAAAAAAUAAAUAAAAUAAUAUAUCUAUAAUCAUAUUGGUCCUCUAUAUUAAAUUAUUUGCCGUGCACUAAGUUCUUUGAAUCCAACUAAAAAAUCACCUUAAACUCGGUGUUUAGGAGACUUGUAGCUUCCACUUCAAGUAAUUAGAGUAUAUGAGAAUGAGAAUGACUAACAUUUAAAUUUAAAUAUCUGACAUCUCUUACCGAACAAGUUGUUACUAGAAUUGAUUGAAAGCUCAUCAAAUUUUCGUGCAAAGUGCAAAAAAAUAUAAUUCAAUGCUCUAACAAUACUUUUUUUUAGAGGAUUUUCUGUCAAUAGCUGCCCACUACUUUAUUUGACUGAAUUAAAGUUGCAAAAGAAAAAGAAAAAAAAACGACAAAAUAUCCGGUUUGUGGACCGAUCUAGACAUUUUAGCAAAAGAACUGCACACAUAUCCAGACAUCGACAUUUCCAAUGAUACUUAAUUAAUGCUCCUAGCCAAUUGUUAUUGCGUCCAUUGAAUGGGAACAUUGUUUGGUCAACUAUUGAUUUGCUCGCGCGCUCUCUCUCUCUCCCAUCAAUGUCCUCAUCAAUUGUCAUUAUUCUUACGUGUCAUUUUCGAGAAAAAUUUUGUUAGUGUCACUUUCAAAGUUCAAUGCAACAUUAAAUAUCGUUUUAUCAAUUGUACUUAAUUAUUUAUUGAGGAGAGAUAAAUAUAUGAAAUGAGAUAUUAAAUGAAUAAGGUCAUUAUAGUAAAAGUAUAGCUUAUUGCAUCAAAAGUAGUAUCAAUUGUUGAUUGUCUUGGUUUGUGUAAAAUGUCAAAAUGUGACAAUUAAAAAGAAACGGAUGUAGUAUAAUACACCCUCCGAUCACAAAUAUAAGCAAACAUUCAUGUUUUAGAUUCAUUCAAUAAAUGAUGUAUGUGCCUACAUACAUCAUUUAUUGAAUGAAUCUAAAAUAUGAUUUUUUGCUUAUAUUUGUGAUCGGAGGGUGUACAUAUUAAGAAAAUGUGUACAAGUUCGGCCUUACAAUUUCGACAAUUGUCAGUUUAGCUAGGACUUCUAGACAUUAAUUCCUUUUCAAAUAAAAGUGGUUUUAAGUGUCUUACUUCCUCCGUCCCAAAUUGUAAGACGUUUUGGCCAUUUUACACGUAUUAAGAAAUGUAAUUAAUAUUGCGUGGGAAAGAAAAAUUAUGAGUUGUUUUACAAAAUUAUCCCUAAUAAAUGGUAUGGAAAAGAUAAAUGAAAUAAUUGAAAGAAGAGAGAGUAAUUAAUAGUUAAGGAUAUAAUAGGAAAAGUAACAUAAAUAUUUCAUUGGUAUUGUAAAACGACAUAUAAUUUGGGACAAAUUUUUUUUCUAAAGCGACAUACAAUUUGGGACGGAGGGAGUAUUAAGUAUUUGUGUAUUCUUCAUUAUCAAUCAAAUAUAUUAAAUUGAGAGUGAUAAAAAUAUAAAUUAGAGUUAUAAUUAAAAAAAUAAAUAUUUCAUUAAAAAUUUGUUGCCGCAUUGAUGAGUCCAAAUGAUAUAUAUAACCAACCAUUCAUUGUGUCCAUGAUGGGAACGGAAAGUUGUCUUGUGUCUAUCCUCCUCCUUAACAAGGAUUUGGUGGUACCUGUAAUGAAGAUCAAGCUUGGAAAAAAAAAAAAUUGCUACAUGUAAUUCAUCCACAGUGACCAUUGGGAAGAACUUUUAUCACCCUGUUUGUCACAAGUUUUCCUUGAUGAAAAAAAGUGCCACAUAUGAGGCCCCCCCCCCCCCCCCCCAGCCAUGGAAAGAAGAAACACCGGUACUAAUAAUUCAUUGCUUUGUACUUUGAAAUUGUUAGAGGCAAUUAUUGAACCCAUCCAUCCCUCAGUGAGUUCGUUCUUUCCAUGGGACGUCAAGCACUCCGAAAGACUCUUUUCUGGUUCAACCAUUAGGCUCUUGGAGGUGGAUUAUUUAGGCCAUCAAGUCUCUGGUUCAGGUGUGGUGAUGGAUGGAAGUAAGGUCUGUGCAGUAAUGUAAUGGCCACAACCUAAAAACGUCAAAUAGUUUUGUAUGCUCUUGGGGUUAACUGGAUACUAUCGUCGAUUUAUCAAAUAUUAUGCAACUAUUGCAGGGCCAUUAACAGAACUACUCAAGAAAGACGCUUUUACUUGGAACGAAGAUGCAGACCAAGCUUUUUAUUAAGCUUAAAUAAGCCAUGACAGCAACACCUGUACUUGCUCUGCCGAAUUUACAUAACCUUUUGUUGUUGAAACUGAUGGGUAAGGAACCGAUGUAAGAGCAGUGAUAAAUCAGAACGGCCACCCAGUUGCAUUUUUCUCCAAGAAACUAGCUCCACUUAUAUGAGGGAACUGUUGGCCAUUACUGAGACUUUGGAAAAGUUCCAACACUACUUAUUGGGACAUAAAUUCAUUCUCUGAACGGACCAAAAGAGCUUGAAAACUCUCCUGGACCAAUCCUUGCAAACCCCCAAACAGCAGGCGUGGUUUCACAAAUUUAUGGGGGUAUAAUUUCACAAUUGAAUACAAACCAGGAAAGGAGAAUAUGAUAGCCGACUCAUUGUCUCGAGUUUUCUUCAUGGCUUGGUCCGAGCCAGUACCAUCCCUACUACAAGAACUGCGAAAAGAGGUUGCACAUAAUGUUCAGUUACAAGCUUUGGUGCGGGAAUGUCAAGAAGAGUCUCAGGGGCACUCUCAUUAUACAGAUAGAGAUGGUGUUUUGUUAUGGAAAGGGAGGAUCGUGCUAGCCGCAAACAACACAUUGAUUGAGAAAAUUCUACAGGAAUAUCACUCCUCGGCCUUCACCGAUUGGAGGUCAUGCAGGUAGCACUCGAACCAUAGCUAGAAUUGCAUCAUAAUUUUUUUGGCCUAAAUUGAAGGAAGAUGUGAAGUUGUUUGCAAAAAAUUGCUUAGUUUAUCAAAAAGCUAAGACUGUAGAUGUGUUACCAGCCAGAUUGUUGCACCAUUACCUAUACCACAUCAAGUGCAAGAUGAUGUGGCGAUCGAUUUUAUUACCGGUCUUUCAAAUUCCUUGGAUUCACGGUCAUCAUGGUGGUUAUUGAUAGAUUGGCAAAAUACAAUUUUUUUUGGCUAUGAAGACUGAUUACAGAAGUCAGUCGGUGGCUGCAACCUUUAGGACUAAUAUUGUCAAACUACACGGAGUCGCUAAGUCGAUUAUCUCAGAUAGAGAUAAGAUUUUUACUAGUAAUUUUUUGCAGCACUUGCUUAAGAUGCAAGGCACUACUCUAGCUAUGAGUUUGGCAUACCAUCCUCAAUCUGAUGGUCAAUCGGAGGUCGUAAAUAAGAUUCUCGAAAUAUAUUUAAGGUGUUUCACUUUUCAUAAUCCUAAGGGCUGGUAUAAAGAAUUGGUGUGGGCUAAAUUCUGGUAUGAUACCUCGUUAAUUUCUGUAAAUAUCCUGCUCGAAUUAUAGCACUACAGAAAUGGUAGAACUUUCAUGAUCUAGAGCCAAAAAAAUUGACCUAACAUCAUAAAUGGAAAACAACUAUAACUAUCAUUAAGCUGAUCUAUUAGAAUACUCCUUAACCACUGCUGCAAAAAGUGAAGGCCUUUCAAGCAAACAUGAUGCCUAGUCAUAUUCCUUUGCAAAACCUGCCAAAAAUAUUACUGGUCUUCUAAAUUCCGAAUUCCGUUGGAUUCACGGUCAUCUUUUGGCUAUGAAGACUCAUUACACAAGUCAGUCGGUGGCUGCAACCUUUAGGUAGGACUAAUACUGUCAAACUACACGGAGUCCCUAAGUCGAUUAUCUCAGAUAGAGAUAAGGUUUUUACUAGUAAUUUUUGGCAGCACUUGUUUAAGAUGCAAGGCACUACUCUAGCUAUGAGUUCGGCAUACCAUCCUCAAUCCAAUGGUCAAUCAGAGGCCGUAAAUAAGAUUCUCGAAAUGUAUUUAAGGUGUUUCACUUUUCAGAACCCAAAGGGCUGGUAUAAAGCAUUGGAGUGGGCUAAAUUCUGGUAUAAUACAUCGUUUCAUGGUAGUUUGUGCAUGACUCCCUUUAUGGCUGUGAUGGUCACUAUGCUCCUAAUCUCAACAGAUAUGUGACAGAUAGUAAGGACCCUCCAGAAGUACAAAAACAACUAUAUGAUAGGGAUCUUUUAUUGACUCAUUUGAGAGAUAAUCUUAACAGGUCCCAACAACAAAUGAAACACUACGCAGACAAAAAGAAAAGGGAUGUGUAGUUUAAGGUGGGAGGUGAGGUAUUGGUAAAAUUACAGCCUUACCGACAACACUCUGUGAGCCUGCAAAAGAACCACAAACUGUCAAUGCGAUAUUUUGGCCCCUUUAAGGUAGUAGCCAAUGUGGGCGUUGUUGUUUACAAACUGCAGUUGCCGGACAAAAACCAAGAUACGUUCCAUGUUUCACAGUUAAAGGCUUUCUCUGGGACUGCCAAAGAACCGUAUCUACCAUUUUCAUUGACCACAACCGCUAUGGGUCCGGUUUUGAUGCCUACUGCCAUCCUACGCACCAUAACUGUGAUCACUAAUGGUAAGAGGGUGAACCAUGGCUUGAUUCAAUGCCCAGAAUCCGAAGCAACGUGGGAAGAGUUGGAGGGUUUAAAAGACCAUUAUCCUUUUUUAUCCUUGAGGAUAAGGUUCCUUUUAAUGGGGAAGGUGAUGUAACAGACUCAGGUUAUGCACCGCUUCUAGUAGUAGAGCAAGAACAAUACACAAAUAAUAUAAAAAAUAAUUAAGCCAAACUUGAUUUCUGUAACUCGAUAAUUUCUCUUGGAUAUUAUCCUGCUCGAAUUAUAGAACUACAGAAAUGGUAGAACUUUCAUGAUCUAGAAAGAAAAAAAUUGGACCUAACAUAAAAAAUGACAAACACUAUAACCAUCAUUAAGCUGAUCUAUUAGAAUACUCCUUAACCAAUGCUGCAAAAAGUGAAGGCCUUUCAAGCAAACGUGAUGGCUUGUCAUAUUCCUUUGCAAAACCUGCCAAAAAUAUCAAAUACCCCACAAUUCAUUAUUCAACCAAUCUAACUCUAUAUUUAUUUCAUACAAUAAUUGCAUUAUUUAAAGACAGAAACACUUGGGAUUAAAGGUGUGUUCGGUAUUUAAUAUUAAUGUUGCACGACAUAUAUCAUUAGUGUCUUUGUUGUGUCCGGUUUGAAUGUAAAUGUGUUUAUGUUCCAGUUUGUUAUGAAAACAUAUAGAUAUAUAACAUAAAGAUACCUGCAUCUAUGACCAAAACCCUGUCACAAUCCAUAACUGUUGGUAUUCUGUGAGCAAUGCUAAUAAUUGUACGAUCUGCAAAAUCCUCUCUGAUGAUCUUUUGUAUUACAGCAUCAGUUUGCGAAUCAACUGAUGCUGUUGCUUCAUCCAUGAAUAAUAUUUUGCUGCGUUUUAACAUGAUCCUUCCCAAGCAUAGAAGUUGCCUUUGCCCCACACUCCAAUUGUCUCCACCAUCAACCACUAACAAAAUAGUAUAAUAAACACAUUUCAGCUCAUACAUUCUUAUAACAUUCGAUUAAACUAUUUAAAAUACGUUCUUAUAACAUUCGAUUAAACUAUUUAAAAAGAAGUCUCUGAAGGUUUAGCAUUCGAUCCCUGCUGCUACUGACAAAUUAACCACUAACAUUUGCCUAUAAAAAACAAUGAGAAUAUGAUAUUUAUGAGAAGAGUUUAUUUGAUCACCUAAAGCGUCGAGUUUCUCAGGCUUUGCAGCCACCACUUCUUUCAAUUGGCACCGCUCAAGACUCUGCAGAAACAAAGAUGAACAUUAACAUAUUAACUGAAUUUCAUCCAUGUAUGUAGGAUGUUAUUCUGCACUUUUCUUCUCCCUUUUGCAGUGCACAUAGAAUGAUCCGGUCAAUUAGUGACUACAGGUAAAUCCCAGUUAUACAAUCUUAAUCGGUAAUUUACAAUAUUUUUUUAUUUAUGAUCUUUAAAUUCAGACCUUCUGAUUUCAGUCAAAGGGUCUCCAAUAUAUUGACUACAAUACUACAGAAUUCCCUAACUGUAUAGUACCCUAUGAAGCCCCGAUACCGAUACGAUAUGAUACCGAUACGGCGAUACGGGAAAAUUUUCAAAAUUCCCAAUACGAUACGGCCUCGAUACGUUAUUAAAAAAUUAAAUUUAGAAUUAAUAGUAUAAGUGCACAAUGUAUAAACAUAACUAAAAAUGAUAAUAAACAAACAUUCACAUUAAUGAAAAUGAUCAAAACAAGUGACAAUUACAUAUUUUUUCCGCACAAAUUAGAUAGAAUAUAGCUAAAUAUCAUUAGUAUCAUCCAAAGAGAACAUCAUAAGUACUAUAAAAAAAAAAGAACAUUUUUGUCUAAUGUUGACUACUUAACAGUUAACACUAAUUUAUAUCGAAAACAAACAGCAAAGAAACAUAACAUUAGAGAGAAGAGAAACAAAGUAGAAUUCAAUCACCGGUAAUGGUUAGAAGAGAGAAUAACUAUUGGCUAUUGCUAUGUGGUGACGAGAAACCCUAUUUUUUUAGGUUAGAAGAGACAAUAUGAUUUUGAUAGCGCAGCCAGACUUGAUAGGUGUUGGAGUAUAAGUAAGCUGUGUCGGAGUGCAAGUUAGUCGUAUCCGACACGUAUCGGUCAUUUUUUUCCUUCAAAAAAUAAAUAUUAAUUGCCCGAUACUUCUCCGAUACGCGUAUCCGACACGUAUCGGUCAUUGUUUUUCAAAAAAAUAAAUAUUAAUUGCCCGAUACUUUUCCGAUACGCGUAUCGGGACGUAUCGGGGCGUAUCGGUAUCGGAUACGUGUCGGAUACGAUACUUCACCAUUUUUGGAGUAUCGGGGCUUUAGAGAUAGUACCUGUUGACAAUCAAUUAAAAACUCAAACCAUAUUAAAAUAAUUUCAGCAAGGGCGUUGUUAUUAUAUGGAUGCUUGAAAGAGCUUAUCUUGUGACAUAAAUACUUAUAUAAGUAUUUUAAAGAUCUUAUGAAAAUAGUUUAUGAUAUAUCCAUUUUUUCGAAGAAGCCAAACUAGCUCGCCGAAAUUGGCACCAGGGAGAAUCGAAAAUAAGACCUUGAGACUCCAUGGUCCCAAGCCAACACCACCAGACCUACCCAAAUGGGUUUAUGCAGAUUCUGCCCUUAUUUCAUCUCCAAUCAUAGAAGCAGCUUGUGUCUAUGAACCACUUAUUGAAUAAGUUAUUUAUCCAAACACUCCUUAUAGACUAUAUGCUCAUGUAAGAAUUUCAUAACAUAAAAAUAAAACAACAAGCAAAUAUGCAGUGUAUUAUAUACCUUCCAAAUUUCUUCUUCUGAAUACAAUCCAAGAGGAUCAAUGUUGGUUCUUACUGUUCCUUGAAAGAGGACAGGCUCUUGUGGAAUAAUUCCAAAACGUGACCUCAAAUCAUGAAGACCAACAUUGGAAAUGUUAAUACCAUCAAUGAUUAUUUUUCCAGCUGAAGGCUCAAUCAACCUAAAUAACACUUGAAUGAGUGUUGAUUUUCCACUUCCUGUACGGCCAACAACGCCAACUUUUUCUCCACCUUCAAUUGUUAGAGAGACUCCCUUAAGAACUAGAGGAGUGUUUGGCCUAUACCUAACCUGCUCACACCAUUUAAUAACGAAAUAUAUUAAAUAUGUACUUAAAGAAUGCAUGUUACUACUGUUUCAAAAAAAAGAAAAUAAUGCAUGUUACUAUGAGAAAUUCUUGAUCAGUACCAUUGCGUAGAAAACUACUACCGUUUACAUUUGGUGUUUCCAAAAAUAAUGGUGUUUCCUGUUUCUAUCUCUACAUCAUAUUUUACUUUUCAACAUUUCAUGCUUCACAAUAUUGCUCAAUUCUGAACUAAACAUAUUGUCCUAAAGAGUAUGCAAAAUAUUUAAAACCUAAGUAACCAACACAUGCUUCUUUUCCCAAAUGGUAUACACUAAUUUCGGUUUAUUUAUGCAGGUUCUCAGUUCUCACCACAUAUUAAAUUGACUAAUCUUGCAAAUAGUAUAUACCUCUAAAUUAUGUAACUCUAUAGUUCCGUGACUAGGCCAAUUCUGAGGAGACUUAUCAGCAAUUUUCCAUGGAGCUUCUGAUGGAAGGUUAGUAAACUGUUUUAUCCUCUCAACAGAAACCAUUUUGUUUUCAACACUGCAAGUCAUUGUUAUGGUAAAUGACAAGAGACCACUCAAAGACAGUCCAUAUGAUAGAGACAAACCAACAUAUUCUGCAAAACCAAAAUUAUAUCCAAGUGGAACAAUUCUUUGUUAGGAAGACAUCUUUCAUAUUUAUCUAAAUAUUAUAAGUAUAAUGAUAUCAAAUUAAUAAAUGAAUGGUUAUGCAUUACAAAAUUCAUUAUUUAUGGCAUGUUUGAAUUGAAAUAUUUGAGCUUAACUACUAGCAUGAGUGCUUGUGAGACUAUUUUGGAGAGCUUAUGGAAACAACUUAUGACAUAUGUAUAAGCUGUUUUCAGCUUAUUUCUAUAGCUUCUCAAAGAUUGCAUAUGAAAAUAAUUUAUAGCUUAUAAGAAAAUAGUUUAUUAUAAUAUAUUAUAGAAAUCGCUUAUACAUAGCACUUGUAUCGUAAGCAUUUAUGUUGGAAGCGCUUAAUAGAUGUGUUUAUCCAAACAGAAGCUUAGUUUUUGUUUAAAAUGUGUGAAAUAGGGUUUUAAAAAAGUCUGUGAUUGCGAUCUUAGUCACGGCAUUAAGAUUUAUAAUGUCUCUGUGACCACUGUGAUUAUCAUCAAAAGGACCAUAACCACAACGUUACUGUGACCGAGUUUUAAAACCUAAGUAUUGACCAUCAUAAUGUGGUUAGAUGAAAAGAUAUGAAAGGGAUUGUACCUGGCUUAACAAUAGCACUUGGCAAAAAGAUCAUAAAAAGGGUGGCAAUGCAAAGGAAAACAACUCCCAUAUAGUCCAAACGAAAACCAAGCCAUUCAUUUGCACCAUUGUUAUGAAAAUCCAUUCUUAGACUUGCAUUCACCCUGUCAAUAUUUUCUUGAGAAAAUGCAUUCUGCUUUCUUAAGCAACGGAUUGUCAUAACACCAGAAAUGGUCUCUGAAAAGUGAUGAAUCACCGGAGCUUUUGUGAUUGAAUCAAGUCGAGUCAAUUCCCUAGAAGUUGCAAGAUAAAAUUUCUGCAAACCAGAACAAUGAGUGUCAAAAUGCACCAGAUAUAGUCUAAAUGAGAGAGCUUAUGACAUGUCUAUAACCUGUUUUCAGUUUGAUUUUCUUUAUUCUGUUGUGAUAGAAACAUCUUAUACAAUAAGCACUUAUGCUAUAAGCGCUUAAUUAAUUUGUUUAUCCAAACAAGACAAAUACUCGGUUACUUUCAAAAUUUCAUGGUCUUCAAACCUAACUCAACUUUACAAAAUCAACUUAUAAUGCAAGUGUAACCCUCACGCCUAGAAUAGACUCCAUUUAUAUAUGGUUGGUUGUGCAUUCUUAUUUUUCAUACUCAUAUUAUGGACAAUUUAUUGUACUACUACUACUACUACUAUUAUUAUUAUUAUAUACUGUUGCUGCAAAUUUAAAUUGGAGUAAGUAUAUCAUACCCUAUACCAGUUGUUGAGCCAAAACAGUGGAAUUAAGAGGAAGACAGUCUCCCAAGAAUUCUGACAUGUGACAAUGAGGAUACUGAAUAAUGAUAAGUAUGCUACCAUUACAAAGUUUACCAACAUUGGAAUUGAUAUAUCAACCCAAAGUAUAUCGGUAGAUACCUAAGCAAUUCAUAAUAAAAGUACAGUUAGAAUUUAGAAAGUCCGAACAAUUUAGAUGGUCAAUGCUGUUCAAAAACAUGGUUAAUUCCGUCUGGUAGAUGGUUAAUGAAUGUAAAGGUGUUGCAACUAAUUAAUCAUCAACAGAGCACAAUUAACCACAAUUUUCAGGUGCAUAUUAAACACAAUUAAACCAAACAUCAAAAGGGAUGUUACGUGAAACUCACACGACUCAAAAUUCUGCCUGAAGGAGUAGUAUCAAAGAAUGACAUUGGUGCGUGAAGGAUACUUUGAAGCAAUCCAAUGAAGAAGCUUUGAGAUGUCUUUAAACCCCAAUAAGUAAACAAGAGAGCUCUCACCAUAACAACUAUGCAUGCAACAACAGCUAUAACAGCAUAGACAGUAAUGAAAGUGAAAGAAGGAAUGCCAGAAUCAUCUGCAGUAGCAAUUGCUAGCCAAUAAUCACCAGCCAAAAAUGACAGCAUCCAAGCCACUGACAUUGCUACCAUGAGUGCUAUUCCCCACCAUCCAAAUGCUUCUGUGAAAUAAUGUUUGUAUACUUUAAGGUUUACACGUCCAGUUUCUCUUUCCUCGUCUUCAAUGAGCUUUGCUGCAGUUUUAUCAGACUUAGGUUUAUCUAGAGAAGACUGCUUUUCUAGCGCGCUUUCUUUUUCUUUCGAAGCGAUGCGAGCUAAUUUUGGAGACUGAGCAGAUUCAUCGCUAGUUUUAUCACUUGUUUCUGC